rnacentral:rRNA from 1 species
GAUGAACGCUGGCAGCGUGCCUAAUACAUGCAAGUCGAGCGAACAGAUGAGGAGCUUGCUCCUCUGACGUUAGCGGCGGACGGGUGAGUAACACGUGGAUAACCUACCUAUAAGACUGGGAUAACUUCGGGAAACCGGAGCUAAUACCGGAUAAUAUAUUGAACCGCAUGGUUCAAUAGUGAAAGACGGUUUUGCUGUCACUUAUAGAUGGAUCCGCGCCGCAUUAGCUAGUUGGUAAGGUAACGGCUUACCAAGGCAACGAUGCGUAGCCGACCUGAGAGGGUGAUCGGCCACACUGGAACUGAGACACGGUCCAGACUCCUACGGGAGGCAGCAGUAGGGAAUCUUCCGCAAUGGGCGAAAGCCUGACGGAGCAACGCCGCGUGAGUGAUGAAGGUCUUCGGAUCGUAAAACUCUGUUAUUAGGGAAGAACAAAUGUGUAAGUAACUAUGCACGUCUUGACGGUACCUAAUCAGAAAGCCACGGCUAACUACGUG